GCUGAGAGGGUGACCGGCCACACUGGGACUGAGACACGGCCCAGACUCUACGGGAGGCAGCAGUGGGGAAUAUGCACAAUGGGCGMAAGCCUGAUGCAGCGACGCCGCGUGAGGGAUGACGCUUCGGGUUGUAAACCUCUUCAGUAGGGAAGAAGCGAAAGUGACGGUACCUGCAGAAGAAGCACCGGCUAACUACGUGCCAGCAGCCGCGGUAAUACGUAGGGUGCGAGCGUUAUCCGGAAUUAUUGGGCGUAAAGAGCUCGUAGGCGGUUUGUCGCGUCUGUCGUGAAAGUCCGGGGCUUAACCCCGGAUCUGCGGUGGGUACGGGCAGACUAGAGUGCAGUAGGGGAGACUGGAAUUCCUGGUGUAGCGGUGGAAUGCGCAGAUAUCAGGAGGAACACCGAUGGCGAAGGCAGGUCUCUGGGCUGUAACUGACGCUGAGGAGCGAAAGCAUGGGGAGCGAACAGGAUUAGAUACCCUGGUAGUCCAUGCCGUAAACGUUGGGCACUAGGUGUGGGGACCAUUCCACGGUUUCCGCGCCGCAGCUAACGCAUUAAGUGCCCCGCCUGGGGAGUACGGCCGCAAGGCUAAAACUCAAAGGAAUUGACGGGGGCCCGCACAAGCGGCGGAGCAUGCGGAUUAAUUCGAUGCAACGCGAAGAACCUUACCAAGGCUUGACAUGUUCUCGAUCGCCGUAGAGAUACGGUUUCCCCUUUGGGGCGGGUUCACAGGUGGUGCAUGGUUGUCGUCAGCUCGUGUCGUGAGAUGUUGGGUUAAGUCCCGCAACGAGCGCAACCCUCGUUCCAUGUUGCCAGCACGUARUGGUGGGGACUCAUGGGAGACUGCCGGGGUCAACUCGGAGGAAGGUGAGGACGACGUCAAAUCAUCAUGCCCCUUAUGUCUUGGGCUUCACGCAUGCUACAAUGGCCGGUACAAUGGGUUGCGAUACUGUGAGGUGGAGCUAAUCCCAAAAAGCCGGUCUCAGUUCGGAUUGGGGUCUGCAACUCGACCCCAUGAAGUCGGAGUCGCUAGUAAUCGCAGAUCAGCACGYGCGAUCGUGGGCUGUAGUUACCGU
rnacentral:rRNA from 1 species